UGUUUUCAUCAAAAACCUUAUUUCUUUUCGACUGAAGAAAGAAAGACAUGAACAUCUUGGAUGACAUGGGGGUGAGUAAAUUAUCAGGAAAAUUUUAUUUGAAAGUGGACUAAUCCUUUAAAGAUGUGCUAACUGAUUUUUAACUGAUAAUAGGGUGGGUAUCAGGGUAAUGGAAGUUAGCCCGGCCACCAUAAGUAAGGUUCACCUUUAUUUUUUUAAUCACAAAAUAUGUUUUUAUUGUUAGUCCAAAAUUCUGCAUCAAUGUUAUUCAUCUCCAGCAAUACCAUGAAAGACGUCCGUUUUUUGGUGUGGUGUGUUGUACAUUUACACGGCAUCAAAGAUUUCCACAAGCGGUGCUACAUGGAUUUACGCAUCACAGUUCUCUAUUGCAUUUGCUCCAUAGCAAUUUAAUUUAAGUUGAAUGAACUGUUUCUUUACCUUUUUGUGAAUUAAUUUUCUAGAUCAGGUUAAGAUUAAUUGAUUCCUCCAGAUGCCCUUUGUUGCUGUGAAUUCUGUAGUCAAAUGCAAGUUAUAAUGUCUGUGGUAUUGCCUAGACAAAUAUAAAGGAAAAUUUAAUCAAUUAAACAUACAUGAUUUUAUAUACAUGUGAAAAAGAUGUACGUACAUGAAGUAUAUGGAUAUAUUUUCCUCUUUUCUCCAGUUUUUCUUUUAAAUGUUUCAUAUCCCUUCAGCGUUCCAGUUUUUCCUUGAAUGUAAACAACACUGAUUUUGUUGUUUAUCUUUUGAAUCAGUUAAAAAAUAAUGCUACAGUAGAAUUUUGCAUUCUGGUGUCACAUUCAUGCAUUUCUAUAAUCAGACCAGACAGUUUUUUGCUUCUAAAACAUCUCCACACCCGUCUGCCCAACACUGACACUGUGCUUAUGUGUAUGUUUCUAAUGCUGCUAUCUCUAAAAGAUGUCACUUGGUAGUAGGUAACUACUCUAGCUGAGCAGACAAUGGACAAGACUACACUCUAAAUGACUUAAAACGGAGCGCUGGAAGACGUUUUGGGAUUUGGUCUUUGUAUUUUGGAAUGUUGAACUUUUUAUUUUGGUAAUUCAAAGAUGAUUUAUUAAAUUUAAUAAAAUAUGGUACCUUGAACUAACAAAAUAAAGAUUUUUCUCAUUCAGUAUUUACUCUUUUUUUCUGAGGCGCAAACGGAAAAAUGCUGAACUGCGCCCUCUAAUGGCUGUUAAGUGCAACGCAGUCAUGAGAAUAGAACACGUUACACUCAGUCAGACGUCGUCAGCAGAUAGAAUUUAAAAAAUAUUAAUGGCACAAUACCGCGAUAAAGUUGCUGAUUAUUCUGGAGAACUGAUUAAUCAAGGGUGUGAACCUUCAACCUGAACCUACAAGUCUAGGUCUACAACUAGGCCACACCACCCAGUAGGUGUUUACUUCCAUUUAUUAUUCCUCAUAAAAGGAAAAACUGCAGUUUAUGGCAAUCAGGAAGCAGCAAUAAUGAUGUCAAUUCAAGGCAUUAUGUGAGUGACAAAACAAAUGACAAGUGGAAAAUGUGUAAAGACCUUCACGUCAUCUAGCAGUGCUUGUGGAUCCUCGAUGCCCUCUGGAACACAUUUCUUCGUCUCCGGAAGGGAUUCCAGCUUCUCCACCAGGGCCUUGAGUCCACUCAACUCAAACUCUGUCAAGUGGGUCCAUUUGCCCGAGUGCUCUGUUCCAGGUGAGCCAGACGGAGUCUUGGGACACUCUGAAGGGAAGGACUUGGAGCUGUCUUCAGAAUCAUUAACUGGGGGUUUCGAGGUCUGAUAGGGAGGGACAGCUGAGGAGGGCUGGGUCACCCCCUCUGUCUUCUCCAACUGCGUCUCACACGAGUUCUCCUCCAUGUCCAGCCGGGGAGCAGAGACAAGACACUCGGGUACAAGCUUGGGUUCAGCUAAUUAGGGUCAGGAGAGAACAUAUGGUAUUUGGAAGAUCUUUCCGAUUCACCAAAAAGUACAUAAAACCAGAAGACAUCAUGAGCAAGUCUAGGAAUCACCUUGAUAAAUGUUGGUAUGAGUGAAAUAAGGAAACAUGAUGAACUUGCAUGUACUCUGAGAUUGAAAAUGCAAAGAAGGGCUCAUUUAAAAGACUGGCUCAUUACUCAUGGAGUUCAGCAAGAGUGAACAAAAUUGAUACUCAUAUCCUCUCCAAUAAAAAUGUAUGGAUUGUUUAUGUCUCUUGAUCAAGUUCUCCAGUUUGGUGUGACUGAACUCCAGGCUGAUGACGUUGAACAGCUUGUCGCGCUCAUCCUCGGGUGUCUCAUAGUAGCGAACAAACUGUGCCAUGCUCAUCUCUGAGCCCUUCUGCGUACUGACGUCCAUCACGUCAACAGCCCGUCUACUGCCUGAAGGUCCAUGCAGAAUUAAAAAAAAAAAUCUUUAUGUUAAAUAAGUGAUUUCAUACUAAAGU